GGUCGCUUAGCUCAGUUGGUUAGAGCGUGGUGCUAAUAUCUUCUUUAUUCUUUGGAAGCGAUUGCAAACGCCAAGGUCGGCGGUUCGAGACCGCCAGUGAUCA